GACGAACGCUGGCGGCGUGCUUAACACAUGCAAGUCGAACGGAAAGGCCCUGCUUUUGUGGGGUGCUCGAGUGGCGAACGGGUGAGUAACACGUGAGUAACCUGCCCUUGACUUUGGGAUAACUUCAGGAAACUGGGGCUAAUACCGGAUAGGAGCUCCUGCUGCAUGGUGGGGGUUGGUAAGUUUCGGCGGUUGGGGAUGGACUCGCGGCUUAUCAGCUUGUUGGUGGGGUAGUGGCUUACCAAGGGUUUGACGGGUAGCCGGCCUGGGAGGGUUACCGGCCACAUUGGGACUGAGGUACGGCCCAGACUCCAACGGGAGGCAGCAGUGGGGAAUAUUGCACAAUGGGCGGAAGCCUGAUACAGCAACGCCGCGUGCGGGAUGAUGGCCUUCGGGUUGUAAACCGCUUUCGCCUGUGACGAAGCGUGAGUGACGGUAAUGGGUAAAGAAGCACCGGCUAACUACGUG
rnacentral:rRNA from 1 species